rnacentral:rRNA from 1 species
UCGGGAAUUUUGGGCAAUGGGGGAAACCCUGACCCAGCAACGCCGCGUGAAGGAUGAAGUAUUUCGGUAUGUAAACUUCGAAAGAAUAGGAAGAAUAAAUGACGGUACUAUUUAUAAGGUCCGGCUAACUACGUGCCAGCAGCCGCGGUAAUACGUAGGGACCAAGCGUUGUUCGGAUUUACUGGGCGUAAAGGGCGCGUAGGCGGCAUGACAAGUCACUUGUGAAUCUCUGGGCUUAACCCAGAACGGCCAAGUGAUACUGUCGCGCUAGAGUGCAGAAGGGGCAAUCGGAAUUCUUGGUGUAGCGGUGAAAUGCGUAGAUAUCAAGAGGAACACCUGAGGUGAAGACGGGUUGCUGGGCUGACACUGACGCUGAGGCGCGAAAGCCAGGGGAGCAAACGGGAUUAGAUACCCCCGUAGUCCCUGAGCGGGCUGGCAAGGCGCAU